rnacentral:rRNA from 1 species
GAUGAACGCUGGCGGCGUGCCUAAUACAUGCGAGUCGAGCGAACGGACGAGAAGCUUGCUUCUCUGAUGUUAGCGGCGGACGGGUGAGUAACACGUGGAUAACCUACCUAUAAGACUGGGAUAACUUCGGGAAACCGGAGCUAAUACCGGAUAAUAUUUUGAGCCGCAUGGUUCAAAAGUGAAAGACGGUCUUGCUGUCACUUAUAGAUGGAUCCGCGCUGCAUUAGCUAGUUGGUAAGGUAACGGCUUACCAAGGCAACGAUGCAUAGCCGACCUGAGAGGGUGAUCGGCCACACUGGAACUGAGACACGGUCCAGACUCCUACGGGAGGCAGCAGUAGGGAAUCUUCCGCAAUGGGCGAAAGCCUGACGGAGCAACGCCGCGUGAGCGAUGAAGGUCUUCGGAUCGUAAAACUCUGUUAUUAGGGAAGAACAUAUGUGUAAGUAACUGUGCACAUCUUGACGGUACCUAAUCAGAAAGCCACGGCUAACUACGUG